rnacentral:tRNA from 2 species
GCUGGCGUAGCUCAGUGGUAGAGCAGCUGAUUUGUAAUCAGCAGGCCGGGGGUUCAAAUCCCUUCGCCAGCUCCA